rnacentral:rRNA from 1 species
GAGUGGACGCACCUCUGGUGUACCGGUUGUCACGCCAGUGGCAUUGCCGGGUAGCUAAGUGCGGAAGAGAUAACCGCUGAAAGCAUCUAAGCGGGAAACUCGUCCCAAGAUGAGUCUUGCCGGGGCCUUGAGCCCCCUGAAGGGUCGUUCGAGACCAGGACGUUGAUAGGCUGGGUGUGGAAGCGCAGUAAUGCGUUAAGCUAACCAGUACUAAUUGCCCGUGCGGCUUGACCCUAUAACCUUGAUG